rnacentral:lncRNA from 1 species
UUGCAUGGUGCAAUUGGUUUUCAAAAACACUCGAUAGAUGCAUCAAAUUUUAGUAAAUGCUACUGCUAGGAAAAUGGAAGUUGGAUCUGUUAGUCAGCAAGUUGGAACAAGGAUUCGUUGGAGAUUUUUAAAAAAUGUUGCUGCUAUCGAAUAAUGGUCGUGUCUAAUCUCCGUUUUCGAGAUUCAUGAUCUUUGGAUUUACCAUCGGAAGUUUUUUCAAGAGUUGACACUCAUAUCAACCGCUGAGCUGAUUGAUUGAGAAAGGUAUUACCUAGGAAUGAAGUAAAAGGAGUAAAGAAGAAGGCAAUCAUUUAGAGGAAGUUUCUAUGUCUACGCACAUCUUAGCCUUGCAUGAGCCUAACCUGUCAACCGGUUAGGUGAAUGCUGAUGCAAGACCAUUGGAUAAUUGUUUAUGCAUCAGGGAGCUAAAGAGGCAUAAUGAAAAUUAUCCAAUGCACAAGUAAGAGUUGGGCUACAGUUUUGUUUGCUCUUCAAAUUGUUUAUCAUUUCAGUAUGGAGAGAGAAUGCAAGUGUCCACUAUUUAAAUAAAAUAUAAGAAACGCAAAUGCAGUUGCUUAUCCGUUGAGGAGAGGGAAAGUUGGUGUCAAUAU